CCCCUGCCCCCCUCGCAGGGCUUCACCUACCUCUUUACCAUGGUGUACAGGACGACGCGCUGGCCGGAGGCCGUCCCGCUCUCCUCAACGACAGCCCCCGACCUGGCCCGGGCGUUCAUCGCGGUGUGGGUCUCCCGCUACGGCACUCCUGCUGACCUCUCCUCUGACCGUGGCCCGCUUUUUUCUUCAGAGCUGUGGGCGGCGGUGGCGGAGAAUCUGGGGGUCAAGCUUCACCGCACUACUGCCUACCACCCGCAGGCUAACGGACUUGUGGAGCGCUUUCAUCGCUCCAUGAAGGCUGCCCUUCGAGCCAGCCUCACGGACAGCAACUGGCUCGACAAACUGCCGUGGGUCAUGCUAGGGCUCAGGACAGCGCCCAAGGAGGACCUACGGUCAUCGUCGGCCGAGCUGGUAUUCGGACAGGCGCUGCGGGUCCCUGGUGACUUCAUCCCCAAGUCGACCGAGCCCUGGUCCGCCUCCACUCAGCGUGCCUCCCUGCUGGACGGCGCCAGGUCCUUAGCCCCGGUCCCGACCACACGGCAUGGCGUCCCUGCUUCGCGGGUGCCACCGGAGCUGCAGUCAGCGGGUUAUGUUUUCAUCCACCACGACGGCCACAGGGCUCCGCUACGACCUCCCUAUGACGGACCCUUCCGUGUCAUCGAGGCAGGAGCCAAGAACUUCAUGGUUGACAUGGGGGGUAAGCCUGAGUGUGUGUCUGUUGGUUGCCUCAAACCGGCUCACUUGGACCUUGAACUGCCCCCGGACUUGGCUCUGCCACUGCGCAGGGGCCGCCCCCCCCCUGUCCUACCCCCCCUGCCACGCCGUGGCCGUCCCCCCCCUCCAACCCCUACAAGCCCCCACAGCUUGCGGCCCUCCGGUUGUCGCUGCCCCCCGCCCCGCCCAACAAGAGGAUGUGAUGGACGAUGUCACGCCUCCUCCCGCACCUCCUGACUUUGCCUACAGGCGUAGGGGCCGGGCCAUAUGCCCUCCUCGCCGCGAGGAUUUUGAAUAUUGAGGUGAACACUGGGGGGGCUGGUGUAGUGACUACAUUAUGGGUUCUGGGUUAGGGUUAGGGUUAGAAA
rnacentral:lncRNA from 1 species